rnacentral:rRNA from 1 species
CGCGGUGGUCCCACCUGACCCCAUGCCGAACUCAGAAGUGAAACGCCGUAGCGCCGAUGGUAGUGUGGGGUCUCCCCAUGUGAGAGUAGGGAACCGCCAGGU